GGUUGUGGCUCAGUGGUAGAGCACUUGCCUAGCAUGCAUGAGGCACUUGGUUCGAUCCCUGGCACCA
rnacentral:tRNA from 1 species